rnacentral:rRNA from 1 species
GAGUUUGAUCCUGGCUCAGGACGAACGCUGGCGGCGUGCCUAAUACAUGCAAGUCGAGCGGAUCUUCAUUAGCUUGCUUUUGAAGAUCAGCGGCGGACGGGUGAGUAACACGUGGGCAACCUGCCUGUAAGACUGGGAUAACUUCGGGAAACCGGAGCUAAUACCGGAUGAUCCUUUUCCUCUCAUGAGGAAAAGCUGAAAGACGGUUUCGGCUGUCACUUACAGAUGGGCCCCGCGGCGCGUUAGCUAGUUGGUGAGGUAACGGCUCACCAAGGCGACGAUGCGUAGCCGACCUGAGAGGGUGAUCGGCCACACUGGGACUGAGACACGGCCCAGACUCCUACGGGAGGCAGCAGUAGGGAAUCUUCCGCAAUGGACGAAAGUCUGACGGAGCAACGCCGCGUGAGCGAUGAAGGCCUGGUCGUAAAGCUCUG